rnacentral:rRNA from 1 species
CAGCCGCCGCGGGAAUACGAAGGGGGCUAGCGUUGUUCGGAUUUACUGGGCGUAAAGGGUGCGUAGGCGGACUGAUAAGUCAGGGGUGAAAUCCCAAGGCUCAACCUUGGAACUGCCUUUGAUACUGUUAGUCUUGAGUUCGAGAGAGGUAAGUGGAACUGCGAGUGUAGAGGUGAAAUUCGUAGAUAUUCGCAAGAACACCAGUGGCGAAGGCGGCUCACUGGCUCGAAACUGACGCUGAGGCACGAAAGCGUGGGGAGCAAACAGGAUUAGAGACCCCGGUAGUCCCUGUCUCUUAUAC